GUUUCUGCACUUUUGUUUUUAGCUGCAUAUAUAAUAAAAUCAAUGAUCCUUAUUGUUACAGCUCAGCCUUCCUUCCACAGCUAGAGUCCCCCAUCCUCUCUUUCAACCCAAGCGCCAGAGAGAGAGAGAGAGAAGUGGGAGGAGGGUUGCCUUCUACAAUUCGGCCUACAGAGCAUUCUUGUUUUUAUCGUCUCAGUGGGGCCCUGCUGACUAUAUGGCUGACAAAAAGAGGAGGGUGGUUCGGUGAAAGUAAAGAAAUUAGUAUCAAAGAUGAUUGAGAGGUGGCCUCUUGCCAAAUGCGUUUAUUUCGACAGUUAGAUAGCGUUGGUCAGAUUUCUCAAGUGAUACUUUGGAUUGAUUAAGACUGCCUAUCCUUCUGGGUGUUGAAGUUAAGAAAGAUUCUUGACUGAAACACACAUGGCCAUAAAGAGUAUUAAAUGAUUAGGCUUCUCAGCCUUUUUGCAAGCUACUCUUUUGGCAAUAUAUAGGACUUUUUGCCAUUGUCAAUCUAACUUCCAAAUAGGCUUAGAUUAAAGCUAGGGAGAGGGAAUAGCUUGUUGUUUAUAUUAUACGCUAAUCAAUCUCCUUAUGUUAUAUUUAGUAGGCCAUAAUGCAAUGUAAUUCAAUCAAAUUUUAUAUUAAGUUCACUAAAAAGUUAUAAGAAUAAAAUU
rnacentral:misc_RNA from 1 species